ensembl:lncRNA
ACAAUGACUGGGUAAGCUGGUGAAUUGCAUAAACUCUUUCCAAAGCGGUCGGGAUUGUCCCUCCCCACUGCAUUUGACAGAUAAAUCAAACAUGCAACUUAAAGCUAAAACACAUCAGACUUUGGAGUUAGUAGGUAAAACAAACCAGCACCAUCAUCUGUCAAUGCCACCAAAACAGAAACAUUCUUCACCUGUUCAACAUGAAAAGAGGACCGGGUUCCUGCUUAUCUCCUGCUGAGCAAUGGCUCAGUCGUGUCCAAGUCUUUGCAACCUCAUGGGCUGUAUCCCACCAGGCUCCUCUGUCCACGGGAUUUUCCAGGCAAGAAUACUGGAGACAUUGGCACCAAGCUGGAAGAUCCAGUCAAUGAAAGGACUUGAACAAGUAAAUGUUUUGGGGGUGUUGACCUAUGAAACUUCUUUAAAUACUCCUUUUUCUAUGUCACUUUCUUUCUUUUCUUUAUUUCCUUCUUCCUUUCCUUUCUUUCAAAACUUUUACUGAAAGGAAAAUCUGACAGAAAAUAUUUUCUAUUAUGAACUGUGAUUGUGUCUAAUAAAGCUAAAAUUACAUAAUGCUAUUCUUGUAAAAAGAUGAAGUUUUAAACACCUAGUGAUUAGAGGCAUUUUUCAGACUAUAGGUAAACAGAGACUCCAUAUCCACAGAAUUUCUUGUUGUUUAAAGCAAAUAUGUACAAAAGUCAAACACAUACCUUUUUAUAAAACAAAGUUAACAUUUGAAGAAAGACUGUGAUGGAC